GAUCAUGGCUCAAGAUGAACGCUAGCUACAGGCUUAACACAUGCAAGUCGAGGGGCAGCAUUUUUCUAGCAAUAGAAGAGAUGGCGACCGGCGCACGGGUGAGUAACACGUAUCCAACCUACCGAUAACUCCGGAAUAGCCUUUCGAAAGAAAGAUUAAUACCGGAUAGUAUACGAAUAUCGCAUGAUAUUUUUAUUAAAGAAUUUCGGUUAUCGAUGGGGAUGCGUUCCAUUAGUUUGUUGGCGGGG
rnacentral:rRNA from 1 species